rnacentral:rRNA from 1 species
AACGAACGCUGGCGGCAGGCCUAACACAUGCAAGUCGAACGCUCCAGCAAUGGAGAGUGGCAGACGGGUGAGUAACGCGUGGGAACCUUCCCUUUGGUUCGGAAUAGCUCAGGGAAACUUGAGGUAAUACCGGAUAAGCCCUUACGGGGAAAGAUUUAUCGCCGAAGGAUGGGCCCGCGUCGGAUUAGCUAGUUGGUGGGGUAACGGCCCACCAAGGCGACGAUCCGUAGCUGGUCUGAGAGGAUGAUCAGCCACACUGGGACUGAGACACGGCCCAGACUCCUACGGGAGGCAGCAGUGGGGAAUAUUGGACAAUGGGCGCAAGCCUGAUCCAGCCAUGCCGCGUGAGUGACGAAGGCCUUAGGGUUGUAAAGCUCUUUUGGCGGGGAAGAUAAUGACGGUACCCGCAGAAUAAGCUCCGGCUAACUUCGUGCCAGCCGCCGCAGUAACAC